rnacentral:lncRNA from 1 species
CCCUCGCGAUUGCUGUAGCCUGGGCUGACUCUUCUCGCCCGGUUACUGCCACCUGGUUCUAAAUCAGCACGUCCCCAAAGUGCCUGAGUAUAAGAAGUGUCUGCCAGGCUGAUUGAAAGUGUAGAAUAACAGGUGAAGAAACUGAGGCACAGAGUUAGUUUAUUGCCCUAAUCACAAAGCUACAGGUGGAAGAGGAGGGUUUGAACUCAGAUUUCCUGAAUCCAAAUCUUGGUGAUGUUUAACCUAAGGUGUACUACAUCCUGAGAGCUAGCUGUCCUCAUACUCUAGGUGCCCACUUCUUCUCCCUGGAGGCAGCCAGUACUGUUAGUUGCCUGUAUAUUCCUCCAGAGAUGUUUUGUGCACAUAAAGAGAAAUCUCAUUGACCUAAGAUGGUUGGAGAAGGCCUUUCUGGAGAAUGAACAUUUUUGAUCAGAGUGGAGCAGAGAACAAGAUCCAGUUGGCUUGGCCAAACAUGGGGGAUGUGAUUUUGUGAUUGGACGAGGCUGGGUCUCGUGCCCAGCCCAGGUGGACAGACAGCUGGGUCUGUUACCCCAGGAAGGGGGCGAGGCGGGGGAAUGUGCCAGCACAUACAAACAGCAGCUGCCCUGUCUUCUCCACCCUCCUGGCUCCAUGACCUUGGACAAAUUCUUUUCCAUUAUCGGUUAUUACAAGAUACUGAGAAAUCCGAUUUCUUGACCUCACAAUAUUCCCUUUUCUUCAAACAUCACCCCAGGCUCUCCACUCAGCUCUGGUGUCUGCCGAAUCUCUAAAGGAAUUUCAAGACAGACAGUUAGCACUGGGGAGCCCAGCUUGGGUUGGAUUCUGCCAGUUUUCCAGAGCCAGUUCUCAGCUAUUUCUGGCUUGAACAGACCCAGGAUCUUCCUGCUUCCACGGGAGCUGCCAUUCCAGGAGGGCCUCCUGGGCACUUCCAUGGGCAAUGUCACCCUCACAACACUGAGAAACGGGUCUCAUCGUUGCCAUUUUACAAACAUGGGAACAGAAGUGAAGUGACUUGCCCAGGUUCCUGUAGGCAGUAAGUGAGCGGCACCAGGGAGCCGUGGAAGCCUCCUCAGCUGGGGAGUGAUGUUUCUGCGUCAUCAAACAUUUAUGACAAGACGGAGCAACACAGAGUGACUUGGAAUGAAUUCAACAGACCAAUAUUUUGAAAUCAGGGUGGCUUGACUUCCUUUAGAGAGAACAGUUCUCCCAUCUCUUCGAGGCAUCAUCCAGAGGAGGAAGAACAGCAAGGUUCCCAGUCCCAGAGAGCACAACUCUGGUCACACGUUCCAUGAUCCCAGAUCAGUGAUCUUUGAUGUUACUGUUGCAAAAUGAUUACAACUGGGAGUUCCUGCUGUGGCACAGUGGUUAAGGAUCUGGCAUUUCCUCAGCUUCGGCUCGGAUUCGAUCCCUGGCCCGGGAACUUCCAUAUGCCAUGGGUGCAGCAGGGGAAAAAGAGAGUUACAACUUGCUGAAGGCUCAGAUGAUGACUCACCGACCAUGAAGUAGCUUAACAGUCUUCUUCGAAUAAGUGAGAAGGAAGCUCCAUGUACCGAAGAGAGAGCCCUCCAGACCUGUGGUCAGACCUCGUUUCUCCUAUGACCUUAGGUCUGCCUGCUCUCCUGCUGAAGGGGAAAGCUCAUGUUGGCAAUGGCCAAGAAUUCCUCCAAAGAUUGAAAUUGCAGCUAGACCAGGAAAGUGAUCUGGCCGUAGGCGGAGUCCCCGCAGUAAAAGUGUUUCUGUAGCUGGGAGUUCACAGCUGCCGUAAAACCUAAAUGUCAGCAACUCCCGUGGUGUUGGAUCACGUGCUACCCCGCUUACAGCCAGCAGCCCUGACAUCGGGGCCAAGCAUCUCAGCAUGCAGAAGUUUCUGGGCCAGGGAUCAACCUGGUGCCACAGCAGGAACCAGAGUACAGCAGUGACAACUCCAGAGCCACCAGGAAACGCCCACAUUAACCUUUAAUUGGAGAAGUAAUUCACAGAAUACAUGCUCCCUGUAAAAGAUUUUAAAAGGUAAGCCCUAUAUCUCUUUUCACAAUGCCUUAGAUUGGAGCUUAAUUAUCAAAAUGUAAUUCUGAAGUAUUCUAUCAGGUAAGAUGGCAGGAAUGUGUAUUCAUUCCUUAGCCCAUCCGUCUCUGUCUUCUGAGGAUCCAGCAUGGCUCCUGAUAUGGUGUCGAGUCAAUAAAUGUUGCUUAGGUGGUCUCCUUUGCACCAGCCACACCCUCAAGGGGCCUCAGCCCGAAACCUGAUUCCUUUAUGCAGCUGCCAACCACCAGCUCAGCUUUCCAGACAGUGCUCAAAUAUCCCCUCUUUUUGGAAGCCCUCCCUGGAGUCCAGGCUGAGUAAGGCAGCUUCUCUUCUGUGUCCCCAUGGCACCCUUAUUUAUUGGCUUGUCAUGCUUAUUGCAAUUUGGAAUUUGGUCACCUCUCCCCUGUUACACCAGGCAGUCUCGGGAAUUCAGUGGUGCCUGGCCUUUAGGCAUCACCUGAUCAGUGUUUGUGGACUGCUGACAGAACAACAAGCAUGUAGGCCUGGCAGUCUGUCAGCUUGGAGAGAGAGAGGGCCAGGUGUAUGCAGUAUUCUUCAUAUCGAGCUUAAUAGGAAACGGCUGUAAGAAAUUAGAUGGCUAGGGUGGCUCAGUGGUAACAAACCCAGGUUCAAUCCCUGGCCCAGUUCAGUGGGUUAAGGAUCCCACAUUGCCGUGAGCUGUGGUAUGGAUCACAGAUGUGGCUUGGAUCCAGGGUUGCUGUGGCUGUGGCGUAGGCCAGCAGCAACAGCUCUGAUUCAACCCCUAGCCUGGGAACUUCCAUAUGCCACAACUGCAGCCCUAAAAAGCAAAAGAAAGAAGAAAAAAAAAUUAGGUGGCUAAUAAUUGACCCUUGACAGUGAUUAUGAUGCUGAUAAAAAUGAUGAAUGAUUGGUAAGAAGGGUAAAUAGUAAACUCUCUCACACAUAAAAAUUUAGAACCACAUCAUUUCACCUCUUGGGAAAAUGUUUAUAACACUCUUCACUUCAAUAUUUCGCCAUGAAACCUAGAAGUUUCUUAGGCAAUUUAUCUUUUCAAAUGCAUCUCAGGGAAUGACAAACAGUAGCCAGAAAGCUGCUCAAAGAGUUCGAGUAUGGCAGCUCAUGGUCAUAAAUCUCUGGGUAGGAUCCUGAUUCUGAAAAGAAACACGAGAAAAGACUGAAAUAAAUCUACCAAGGUGUUAAUCAUGGCAGCACCACUGGAGUUAGGGUGAUGUGUGAUAUUCUUUUCUUCUUUUUACUUUUCUCAAAUCUUUCAGAUUAUACCAUGUAUGUAAAUUCAUUUUACACACACAAAAAAACAAACCAAAACCGAAAACAGACAUAAUCAAAAACAUUUCUAGCAAUUAAUGAAGUUGCUAAGGAGGCAAUUUUAAAUCAUCUAUAAUGGGUGGACAUCUAUGACAUGAGAAUAUAAUUCCAAGAAGGCUAACCUGAGCUAUCAGUUCAUUUGAUAUGAAUUGGGUACUACAACCAAAGACUGUGCUUGGGGCGGGGCUUAAAGUGCAAACAUCAGGUAUACUUCCUACCCUCAGGCAGUUCACAGACUACUGCUAGCCACAAACUCAAGCCACUAAUGGGAGCCAGGCAGCAAAGAGAAAGGAAUGAAAUCCUCCAACAGGCCCUCCUCUAAUAUUUGCUAACAUUUGCUGGCCUUGGAAAAAGUUAAAUGGAAAUCCAUUUACCAGAUGGAUUUAAAACAAGUUAACAAAUCGAAGUGGCUUCUAGUUGUCUACCUUGACACAUGUCCCUUUAUAAUGGCUCUUCUUCUCUUCCCGUGCCUGACUCCAUCACCCAAAGUAGGGAACUUUGUGCAGGUGGAUGGACAGACAUCCUGGCCACACAUUUAAGCUUCAGUCCCUCCCCUUCCCCAUCCCCAGCUUUCUCUUGGCCACUUCUCAGGCACGGGGUAUGUUCCCUAGUAUACGAUUUGCCCUUGGGAGAACUAACUGAGAAAUAAGUCUCUGCAGGCUCUGGAAACAGGCUUGGGUCACAUGGGCAGGGAAUUCCAAGGCCCAGCAGCAUGAUCUAGAAGAGGCAGUGCUGCAUCCAGGCUGCAUGGGGUCAAGGGCAGAGGCCCACUUUGCCUGAAUCUUAGGGAAGCACUAUCCCCUGGGAGGGUUGGGACUCUGGUGUGUGCUGGAGAAUAAAUGCCCCAAGUUACAACAACAGCGGCUACUCAGCUCCAUCCAUGUGGGGACAUGGAUUCGGAGGGCCACAUCUUCUACUUUAUUUUAUUUAUUUACUUUCUUUUUAUAGCCACACCUGCAGCAUAUGGAAGUUUCCAGGCUAGGGAGUGAGUGGGAAUUAGAGCUGCCUACCUAUGCCACAGCCACAGCAACGCCAGAUCCAAGCCGCAUCUUCGACCCAUACCACAGCUCACAGCAAUGCCAGAUACUGAACACACUGAAUGAGGCGAAGGAUGGAACCUACAUCCUCAUGGAAAAUAUAUAUCAGGUUCUUAACCUUGAGCCACAGCGGGAACUCCCACAUCUUCCACUUUUUAAAGAGAGGACACAAACCUGGGCUUUCUUAUGGAAUUGCAUCAUUUUUACAUGUAAGCAAGGAAUAACAAUAAUUUUAAAACCAAAGAAUCAUUCUGCUGGGCAAAUUGAAAAUAUCCGUGAACCACUGUGACCUCUAUGAAAGGAAAGAAAUUUAAAAUCCCAUUUACAUGUUGCUUGACCACUGUUUGGUUUUGAAAAUGAUAUUCACCAAUUCAUUAAUGUCACUUAAGCCCAUAAGUAAGUGAUACAUCUCCGUAGCUAUAUAUAUGUCUGAACUUCAUGCACUUUCUGUUCCGCAGCAGAAAUCUAAUUUACUUGGUACUCCUAGUACUGAUGUAUGUCCCCAUAAGCUAUCAGGAAAGACCUGGUUUUUGGAUCUGCACAUUUUUCUUCCUGGACGUUGACUUUCCUCAUGUCCUCCUCUGGCCUACCGUAAUAACCUGGGCACAUACCUCUCGCUGCAUUUCCCAUAUUGUGCUAUCUUUAGCUCUAUACAUGUUUGUCACUUCAAGAAUUAUCUCCAGGAGUUCCCGUCGUGGCGCAGCAGAAACGAAUCCGACUAGGAACCAUGAGGUUGCAGGUUCGAUCCCUGCCCUCACUCAGUGGGUUAAGGAUCUGGCGUUGCCGUGAGCUGUGGGGUAGGUUGCAGACGUGGCUCAGAUCCCACGUUGCUGUGGCUCUGGUGUAGGCUGGCAGCUGUAGCUCCAAUUCGACCCCUAGCCUGCAAACCUCCAUAUGCCAUGAGUGUGGCCCUAAAG